rnacentral:rRNA from 1 species
UGCGGAAGGAUCAUUAACGAAUAUAAAUCGGAAAGCUGUCGCUGGCCUCUCGGGGCAUGUGCACGCUGACCGUGUUUCAAAAAUUUCUCACCUGUGAACCUAAUGUAGGAUGCCUCUCCUCUGGGAGGGGGGACCUAUGUCUUCAUAUACAUCUUCGUGUAGAAAGUCUUAGAAUGUUUACUAUCAGAGAGUCGCGACUUCUAGGAGACGCGAAACUCUGAGAUAAAAGUUAUUACAACUUUCAGCAAUGGAUCUCUUGGCUCUCGCAUCGAUGAAGAACGCAGCGAAAAGCGAUAUGUAAUGUGAAUUGCAGAUCUACAGUGAAUCAUCGAAUCUUUGAACGCACCUUGCGCUCCUCGGUGUUCCGAGGAGCAUGCCUGUUUGAGUGUCAGUAAAUUCUCAACCCUUCUUGAUUGAGGGAGUUUGGAUAGUGGGGGUUGCUGGAGACUUUUAUUAGACUCGAGCUCUCCUGAAAUGCAUCGGCUUGCGGUCGACUUUCGACUUUGCGCGACAAGGCUUUCGGCGUGAUAAUGAUCGCCGUUCGCUGAAGCGCAUGACUGAAGGUUUCGCGCCUCUAAUACGUCGACUCUUAUUAUCUCUUCGGAGAGAAAAGGUCUUCUUUAUUGACUUUUGACCUCAAAUCAGGUAGGACUACCCGCUGAACUUAAGCAUAUCAAUAAGCGGAGGAAA